UCGUAACAAGGUUUCCGUAGGUGAACCUGCGGAAGGAUCAUUACCGAGUGAGGGCCCUCUGGGUCCAACCUCCCACCCGUGUUUAUCGUACCUUGUUGCUUCGGCGGGCCCGCCGCAAGGCCGCCGGGGGGCAUCUGCCCUCUGGCCCGCGCCCGCCGAAGACACCAUUGAACGCUGUCUGAAGAUUGCAGUCUGAGCAAUUAGUUAAAUAACUUAAAACUUUCAACAACGGAUCUCUUGGUUCCGGCAUCGAUGAAGAACGCAGCGAAAUGCGAUACGUAAUGUGAAUUGCAGAAUUCAGUGAAUCAUCGAGUCUUUGAACGCACAUUGCGCCCCCUGGUAUUCCGGGGGGCAUGCCUGUCCGAGCGUCAUUGCUGCCCUCAAGCACGGCUUGUGUGUUGGGCUCCGUCCUCCUUCCGGGGGACGGGCCCGAAAGGCAGCGGCGGCACCGCGUCCGGUCCUCGAGCGUAUGGGGCUUCGUCACCCGCUCUGCAGGCCCGGCCGGCGCUUGCCGACACAUCAAUCUUUUUUCCAGGUUGACCUCGGAUCAGGUAGGGAUACCCGCUGAACUUAAGCAUAUCAAUAA
rnacentral:misc_RNA from 1 species